rnacentral:rRNA from 1 species
GGGGAAUAUUGGACAAUGGGCGCAAGCCUGAUCCAGCAAUACCGCGUGAGUGAUGAAGGCCCUCGGGUUGUAAAGCUCUUUUAGUGGGGAAGAUAAUGACGGUACCCACAGAAAAAGCACCGGCAAACUUCGUGCCAGCAGCCGCGGUAAUACGAAGGGUGCUAGCGUUGUUCGGAAUCACUGGGCGUAAAGCGUACGUAGGCGGUUUAGUAAGUCGAUUGUGAAAGCCCCAGGCUUAACCUGGGAACUGCAAUCGAAACUGCUUUGCUAGAGUAUGGUGGGGGAUAGUGGAAUUUCUAGUGUAGGGGUGAAAUCCGUAGAUAUUAGAAGGAACACCGGUGGCGAAAGCGACUAUCUACGCCAUUACUGACGCUGAGGUACGAAAGCGUGGGGAGCAAAC